rnacentral:tRNA from 1 species
GCCGAGGUCGCGUAACCUGGUAUCGCGCUAGCCUGCUAAGCUAGUUUCCUUUUCGGAUAUGAGGGUUCAAAUCCCUCCCUCGGCG